CAGACUUCUACAAAAGAUUGCAGUUCUUGAAACAAAGUUACUUGUGGUUCUGCCACCCCUGAAGGAAUACACAGGAGAGCAUCUCCAUGGAUCCCCAAUGCCUACAGCCGAGUCCCACAUACACACUUGUGGCAGCGGGGGCGUGGUCAAGCGUUCGUCCGGAGAGAGAGAAAGCGAUCUGGCCAGAUCCAGCUCCAUUCCUGCUUGGUGUCGGACUCCACUGCUACGUGUCUCUGAAUGAUGACGACAAACUACAGCCGGU